UUUUCUGCCACCGAAUACAUUAGCAUGGGAUAAUGGAAUAGGACCCUGUCCUCCUAUCUUCAGUUGGUUAACUUGUAGAGGAUCAGGGUAAUGAUUAAUAGGGAUAGUUGGGGGCAUUAAUAUUUAAUUGUCAGAGGUGAAAUUCUUGGAUUUAUGAAAGAUUAACUUCUGCGAAAGCAUCUGCCAAGGAUGUUUUCAUUAAUCAAGAACGAAAGUUAGGGGAUCGAAGACGAUCAGAUACCGUCGUAGUCUUAACCAUAAACGAUGCCGACCAGCGAUUAGGAGACGUUGAAUACAAAACACCACCAUACAUAAUUCAGUAUAUGGCCAGUCAAAUGGUUGUAUAUUGUUUGUGUAUGGCACCGGUGAAUGACUCCCUAGCAGUUUGUGAGAA
rnacentral:rRNA from 1 species